rnacentral:lncRNA from 1 species
GAUACAGAGGCCAGAGGUAAUAAAGCUUCAAUUUUCUAAAAAAAACUUGGUAAGGUGUUGAUACUAUGUCGUGUUAGCACUUGGACACUUGGUUCUACCAGGAUGAUACCAACAGAGUUCUAACAAUGAUCAGCAGAUAAGGCUGGGCUGGUUGAAGUACAUCGAGGCAAAUAAAAAACUUGAUCCAUAUGUACCAAAAACUGGAUACCAUGGUUUAAAACAAAAAUCAAAGGUUGAAUGUGUGAUGGGCUAAUUACUGAGUGGAAAGCAUAUGCAUGUUUAUUCCCGAACUGCCAGUUAAUUCUAUUUUGUUUUACUUAAAUCACUGGGUGAUGACCUUCUAUACAGCACCUUGGUGAUGACUUUUGUCUGACAAUAGUUGAUACCUUUUAUUAUGUCUGCUCCCUUUGUGUGUGCCAGCGUUUUGUGAAGGUUUCACAAAAAAAAAAAUCUGAAGAAUGAAAUAAAAAUUAAUUUAUAACAAGUUAGUGGAACAGAACAAUGCAAUACGCUGAUGAAACUCACCACAGGAUACUAUAGUAUCCACUAAAAAAUUAGCCACUUCCGAAGAAUGUAUACAAUGUAUGAAACAACAAAAUAUUAGUCAGUUGAAAUGAAAAACUGCUGGUGGAACACAAAAUAUUUUGAUGAAUAUUUUUGUUCUGGAACAACAAAUAUUUUCUGAUGGAACAAAUAUGUUGCUCACCAUGAGACACUAUUCCAAUAUUACAAUGUAACAAAAAAAUAAGUCAUUCAAACAAAUGUUGGUGGAAAAAUUAGGCAAACAGAAUGUUGCCUUCUGCAAAUUUGAUGGUGGAACGAAAAAUAGUAUUGAUGGAACUAAAACUCGUAGUUGAUAGAACAUAAUCAAACGAAGCCAGCUAUAAAAGAAAGUUCUCUUUGAACUAGGAGUGGGAGAUAAAGAAAACUUUAUCGAUGAUUUGGUAAGCAUUUCAAGUUUAUCUGUGUUUUACCGGUUUACUUAAAAUGCCUCAAAAAUUGCAGCUCUAGUGACAUACUGAGGAUCGAAACCACCUCAAACUGUAGGAUCUUUCAAGGCAUUUCUCAAAGAGUGUUCCUUCGUUGCUGUUUCUAGUGUUUCCAGAAAAUCUCUCAAACUCUUCGUUGUGAAGGCGUUUUUAUGUUUGUUCAUAGGCAUCUUAGAACAACUUAUAACAUCUACCGAGUUGCACUGUCUUGUAUUAAGCCAAAUCAAUUCACAUCGGUCGGGCA